rnacentral:rRNA from 1 species
GACGAACGCUGGCGGCGUGCUUAACACAUGCAAGUCGAACGGAAAGGCCCUGCUUUUGUUGGGUGCUCGAGUGGCGAACGGGUGAGUAACACGUGAGUAACCUGCCCUUGACUUUGGGAUAACUUCAGGAAACUGGGGCUAAUACCGGAUAGGAGCUCCUGCUGCAUGGUGGGGGUUGGAAAGUUUCGGCGGUUGGGGAUGGACUCGCGGCUUAUCAGCUUGUUGGUGGGGUAGUGGCUUACAAAGGCUUUGACGGGUAGCCGGCCUGAGAGGGUGACCGGCCACAUUGGGACUGAGAUACGGCCCAGACUCCUACGGGAGGCAGCAGUGGGGAAUAUUGCACAAUGGGCGGAAGCCUGAUGCAGCAACGCCGCGUGCGGGAUGACGGCCUUCGGGUUGUAAACCGCUUUCGCCUGUGACGAAGCGUGAGUGACGGUAAUGGGUAAAGAAGCACCGGCUAACUACGUG